rnacentral:misc_RNA from 1 species
CAGAGUUGCAAAACUCCCUAAACCAUUGUGAACGUUACCUAUACCGUUGCUAUCGGCGGGCGGCCUCGGGGUUUACCCCCCGGGCGUCCCUGGGCCCCACCGCGGGCGCCCGCCGGAGGUCACCAAACUCUUGAUAAUUUAUGGCCUCAUCUGAGUCUUCUGUACUGAAUAAGUCA